rnacentral:tRNA from 1 species
GGCUAUAGCUCAGCUGGGAGAGCGCCUGCCUUGCACGCAGGAGGUCAGCGGUUCGAUCCCGCUUAGCUCCACCAU